GUGACGCCUUGUGUUUUUCCCCUGCUGUGCCGUUUGAGGAAUCUCACUGGGGAAGUGCCUUCCAGUGAGUCGCAUGGGGUUGUCCACACAGGGACGGCCUGCGGUUGGAAGAUGACGGGUUGUGUUGUGUUGGAGCUGUCGCAUGAGGUUCUCCCUGUACCUCUUGUAGGUGAUGACCUGGCCUGUGGCUCUGUGGUGGAUUAUGAAGCCAUUCAGUACAGCGGCAUCAAGUAGGCUUCACCUUCAUUGAUCCUGUUGAAAAAUCAAUUUUCCCACUCUCUACCAUUUGAGAACUGUGUACAGUCGACAAGACGUGCACAUCCCUUUUAUCGUGCCAUUUAACUGCCAACAGGUCCCCCUUGUGACGGAACUCCACAUCCCCCUUCAUCUUCUUAGUGAAGUUUGGCAUUCCCUUUCGAUUGGCCCUCACAGUCCCACAGGCUCCAGUCUUCUGCUGCAGAAGGUACUGGAAUAAUGCUGGGCUAUUGUACCAGUUGUCUAGGACGAUGGUGUGCCCUUUGCCAAGGUGAGGCUGCAGCAGGGUUGUGACCACAGAGCCAGAGACACCAAGGCCCUCCAUAUAUUUGAUGUCUGUGGUGGACCCGGUAUAGAUGAUAAGGUCCUGGAUAUAGCCUGUCGGCACAUCACACAGGACAACUUAAUGCCGAACCUGUGGCGCUUUGAGGGUAUGUACUGCCUGAAACCUAUCCUACCUUUCCAUUGCAGAAGUGACUCAUCUAUACACAAGUCCUUAUGAGGUACAAACACUUCCAAAUGCUGUGGUCAAGUUUGUCAGUACAUUACGGAUCUUGUGGAGGGGAUCAGCAAGAUUUGCAGUAGCCUUGUUUACAAAGUGUUGCGCUCUUAACAGGAGAAGGAAGCGGUCCUGAGAGAAUAGUGUUUUG